GUUACAUAAUUGUGCACCUGUACGCACGUGCUAUUUCACAGGUAAAAUCCAUGCGUCCGAGUAUAAACGUUCGCGUAUGACCUUUAUAUUAGAGAUUCUGAAUGUUGAGUCAUCAGUUGUAAGCUAGACCGGUACAUGUUUAUCAAUGCAUUGAACAAUUCGUACGCACUAUGUUUUUAAAAGCGAUCGACCAUGGCAGGGGUCGUUGGCUCGAUUAGCCAAUGAAAUUACUCGUUACACUCAGCCAGUGCCUAGGUAACGAAUCGGAGACAUCAUACAAAACUAAGCGCAAUGUACAAGCAAUAUUGCAGCGAUUUGGCCUCACAGUCUUCUAACACUAGUGGGAAAAGCAACACACAGGAAAAAAUGGCAGAGAAUAAGAAGCCGAAAACUCAAAAAGAAUUGUGGGAUUUUCUUAAUGGUGGGGAGAGUUCGUCACUGCUUAAAAAGCACCUGAAACCAGAACUUUAUGAGAAAUUGAAGGACAAGAAAACAAAACUCGGCGGCACUAUAGCAGACUGUAUUCGUUCAGGUAGGCAUCAGCAACCGGUGAUUGAAAUACUGUCGUCAGAGAAAUUAUGUAUUUGUCGAACUUCAAAGAGAACCUAAUAUUCGAUCUGAUAAUGAAAAGAUUGAUUCAAUUCACCAUGUUAAAAGUAGGGCGUUGGUUUGUAAUUUCAUUUUUUUUCAUGUCCUCUUCGACCUUGCCAACUUCGGGUCUUUUCAGUCGGUUACUCUGACGCGUGACGUCACAUUACACAAAUCCCGUGGAAAACAUUUUGGAGGGAAGCCAAACCCCUUCUAUAGGCCUAUGUGAUUGUUGGGGGGGAAAAAUCAGAGUAAAAGAUAUGCUCCUCUCGAAUUGGAUCCACCAACGCGGAACUCCCAUAAAAUGCCGGCUCGAUGAAAAUUUAUGCGAUUAGAAAAUCAAUGUUAUUUCAAGGUCGCCAAUACUAGAUUCAAUAAAUUGUAAAUCGAUUUUACAUGUUGUGAGACUACAUGCAGUUACGUUUCCCACCUUAAAUUCAAACUAAUUUGGCAACAGUCAUUAUUUAAUGAAUAUUGAUGAAUCAACACCAGAAUAAGCCACCUGUGGGGAAUACAUCUGGUAGGACAAGUGAAGUUGAUAUUAUAGAAGGAAGGAAUGUAACAGCGGAAGUGGAGAUUCAUGCACAAAUAAGACAAUCCGCCAGACUUCCUCCUUCCUGCUCUUAAUGGAGCCGGGUCACCUUGACAAGGAAAGACUCGGGGCGAGUGGUGCAGCCGGAGUUAAUGUAGAUCUAGAAAGCUUUCGAGAAUAUGGCAAUGUUUUUUCUCAUUUGAAACGGAUAAUAAAUUUUGUGGGCCACUUGUGAUGUAAACAUCUUGAUUGUAUGUGAGAACUUGAGUGUUACCAGGAUGGAUUCUCUCCUUCACAACAUGCACGCGCGCACACACCACAUACAUGCACACAAUGCACGCGCGAGCACAAGCAUACAUCACAUACAUGCACACGUACGUACCACACAAGCAUGACCACACACAUGUACAAACUCAAAAACACAUGUCAUGAUCUGAAAGAAGUAGAUGAAUUGUGCAAAAACUGAAAUAUAAAAGUCUACAUAUUUUGAAACGAGCAUAGCUGCAGAUCUGUAGCGUUAUGGUUUUAUAUUCUUGUCUUUGACCAUAACGCUACAGUUCCUGUAACAUAAAUAUUGUGCAAUUUACGGCGCAAGAUUUUCUGCGCACGUUUGGGGAUGUAUUUAUCCACUUUCCAGCAUUGGGCAAUCAUCUACCCUUCAUUCCCUAAUUGUAAACAUUUUAUUACCAACCUGUAUAUUUUAUCCACCUCUCAAUCCUUUAUAAUCGUCUCUACAGACCGAUAAACUCGCUUGUUUUGAAUUUUCUGCCAUCCGACGGCCAUGUUGACCUACUGACGAGCCCUUCACCGACAAUGGUAACGUCUUAAUGUGAGUGAUAUAUUCUAUAUGACUUUAGUCAUUAUAUAAUCAAACAAUCAAUCGUACGCUGGUGAUGUUCUCUAAAUAGU